AAGGCCCUGCAAAGCAGCAUCGCGGUGGCGGAGCGUCGUUUGCGACGCCCAACACACAAAACAAGCGGUGAAUGCUUUGGGGUGGGGUGACUGCGUACCUUUUGUAUAAUGGGUCAGCGACUUAUAUUCUGUAGCAAGGUUAACCGUAUAGGGGAGCCGUAGGGAAACCGAGUCUUAACCGGGCGUUAAGUUGCAGGGUAUAGACCCGAAACCCGGUGAUCUAGCCAUGGGCAGGUUGAAGGUUGGGUAACACUAACUGGAGGACCGAACCGACUAAUGUUGAAAAAUUAGCGGAUGACCUGUGGCUGGGGGUGAAAGGCCAAUCAAACCGGGAGAUAGCUGGUUCUCCCCGAAAGCUAUUUAGGUAGCGCCUCGUGAAUUCAUCUCCGGGGGUAGAGCACUGUUUCGGCUAGGGGGCCAUCCCGGCUUACCAACCCGAUGCAAACUGCGAAUACCGGAGAAUGUUAUCACGGGAGACACACGGCGGGUGCUAACGUCCGUCGUGAAGAGGGAAACAACCCAGACCGCCAGCUAAGGUCCCAAAGUCAUGGUUAAGUGGGAAACGAUGUGGGAAGGCCCAGACAGCCAGGAUGUUGGCUUAGAAGCAGCCAUCAUUUAAAGAAAGCGUAAUAGCUCACUGGUCGAGUCGGCCUGCGCGGAAGAUGUAACGGGGCUAAACCAUGCACCGAAGCUGCGGCAGCGACACUAUGUGUUGUUGGGUAGGGGAGCGUUCUGUAAGCCUGUGAAGGUGUGUCGUGAGGCAUGCUGGAGGUAUCAGAAGUGCGAAUGCUGACAUAAGUAACGAUAAAGCGGGUGAAAAGCCCGCUCGCCGGAAGACCAAGGGUUCCUGUCCAACGUUAAUCGGGGCAGGGUGAGUCGACCCCUAAGGCGAGGCCGAAAGGCGUAGUCGAUGGGAAACGGGUUAAUAUUCCCGUACUUGGUGUUACUGCGAAGGGGGGACGGAGAAGGCUAUGUUGGCCGGGCGACGGUUGUCCCGGUUUAAGCGUGUAGGUGUGUGUUCCAGGUAAAUCCGGUUCACUUUAACACUGAGGCGUGAUGACGAGGCACUACGGUGCUGAAGCAACAAAUGCCCUGCUUCCAGGAAAAGCCUCUAAGCAUCAGGUAACAUCAAAUCGUACCCCAAACCGACACAGGUGGUCAGGUAGAGAAUACCAAGGCGCUUGAGAGAACUCGGGUGAAGGAACUAGGCAAAAUGGUGCCGUAACUUCGGGAGAAGGCACGCUGACAC
rnacentral:rRNA from 1 species